rnacentral:rRNA from 1 species
AUUGAACGCUGGCGGAAUGCUUUACACAUGCAAGUCGAACGGCAGCACGGGGGCAACCCUGGUGGCGAGUGGCGAACGGGUGAGUAAUACACCGGAACGUGCCCAGUCGUGGGGGAUAACGUAGCGAAAGUUACGCUAAUACCGCAUACGAGCUACGGAUGAAUGCGGGGGACCGUAAGGCCUCGCGCGAUUGGAGAGGCCGAUGUCAGAUUAGGUAGUUGGUGAGGUAAAGGCUCACCAAGCCGACGAUCUGUAGCUGGUCUGAGAGGACGACCAGCCACACUGGGACUGAGACACGGCCCAGACUCCUACGGGAGGCAGCAGUGGGGAAUUUUGGACAAUGGGCGCAAGCCUGAUCCAGCCAUUCCGCGUGCAGGACGAAGGCCUUCGGGUUGUAAACUGCUUUUGUACGGAACGAAAAGGCUCUGGUUAAUACCUGGGGCUCAUGACGGUACCGUAAGAAUAAGCACCGGCUAACUACGUGCCAGCAGCCGCAGUAA